CAGUAGCCGCGGUAAUACGUAGGUCCCGAGCGUUGUCCGGAUUUAUUGGGCGUAAAGCGAGCGCAGGCGGUUAGAUAAGUCUGAAGUUAAAGGCUGUGGCUUAACCAUAGUACGCUUUGGAAACUGUUUAACUUGAGUGCAAGAGGGGAGAGUGGAAUUCCAUGUGUAGCGGUGAAAUGCGUAGAUAUAUGGAGGAACACCGGUGGCGAAAGCGGCUCUCUGGCUUGUAACUGACGCUGAGGCUCGAAAGCGUGGGGCGCAAACAGGAUUAGAUACCCGUGUAGUCCCUGUCUCUUAUACA
rnacentral:rRNA from 1 species